CACGUAGGGCGCAAGCGUUGUCCGGAAUUAUUGGGCGUAAAGAGCUCGUAGGCGGUCUGUUGCGUCCGCUGUGAAAACUCGGGGCUUAACCCCGAGCCUGCAGUGGAUACGGGCAGACUAGAGGUAGGUAGGGGAGAAUGGAAUUCCCGGUGUAGCGGUGAAAUGCGCAGAUAUCGGGAGGAACACCAGUGGCGAAGGCGGCUUCCUGGCCUGUUCUUGACGCUGAGGCGCGAAAGCUAGGGGAGCAAACGGG
rnacentral:rRNA from 1 species